GACGAACGCUGGCGGCGUGCCUAAUACAUGCAAGUAGAACGCUGAAGGAGGAGCUUGCUCUUCUGGAUGAGUUGCGAACGGGUGAGUAACGCGUAGGUAACCUGCCUGGUAGCGGGGGAUAACUAUUGGAAACGAUAGCUAGUACCGCAUAAGAGUAGAUGUUGCAUGACAUUUGCUUAAAAGGUGCACUUGCAUCACUACCAGAUGGACCUGCGUUGUAUUAGCUAGGUGGUGGGGUAACGGCUCACCAAGGCGACGAUACAUAGCCGACCUGAGAGGGGGGUCGGCCACACUGGGACUGGGACACGGCCCAGACUCCUACGGGAGGCAGCAGUAGGGGAUCUUCGGCAAUGGACGGAAGUCUGACCGAGCAAAGCCGCGGGAGUGAAGAAGGUUUUCGGAUCGUAAAGCUCUGUUGUAAGAGAAGAACGAGUGUGAGAGUGGAAAGUUCACACUGUGACGGUAUCUUACCAGAAAGGGACGGCUAACUACGUG
rnacentral:rRNA from 1 species